GAACGCUAGCGACAGGCUUAACACAUGCAAGUCGAGGGGCAGCACAGGUAGCAAUACCGGGUGGCGACCGGCGCACGGGUGAGUAACGCGUAUGCAACUUGCCUAUCAGAGGGGGAUAACCCGGCGAAAGUCGGACUAAUACCGCAUGAAGCAGGGAUCCCGCAUGGGAAUAUUUGCUAAAGAUUCAUCGCUGAUAGAUAGGCAUGCGUUCCAUUAGGCAGUUGGCGGGGUAACGGCCCACCAAACCGACGAUGGAUAGGGGUUCUGAGAGGAAGGUCCCCCACAUUGGUACUGAGACACGGACCAAACUCCUACGGGAGGCAGCAGUGAGGAAUAUUGGUCAAUGGGCGUAAGCCUGAACCAGCCAAGUCGCGUGAGGGAUGAAGGUUCUAUGGAUCGUAAACCUCUUUUAUAAGGGAAUAAAGUGACCCACGUGUGGGUUUUUGUAUGUACCUUAUGAAUAAGGAUCGGCUAACUCCGUGCCAGCAGCCGCGGUAAUACGGAGGAUCCGAGCGUUAUCCGGAUUUAUUGGGUUUAAAGGGUGCGUAGGCGGCCUUUUAAGUCAGCGGUGAAAGUCUGUGGCUCAACCAUAGAAUUGCCGUUGAAACUGGGGGGCUUGAGUAUGUUUGAGGCAGGCGGAAUGCGUGGUGUAGCGGUGAAAUGCAUAGAUAUCACGCAGAACCCCGAUUGCGAAGGCAGCCUGCCAAGCCAUGACUGACGCUGAUGCACGAAAGCGUGGGGAUCAAACAGGAUUAGAUACCCUGGUAGUCCACGCAGUAAACGAUGAUCACUAGCUGUUUGCGAUACACUGUAAGCGGCACAGCGAAAGCGUUAAGUGAUCCACCUGGGGAGUACGCCGGCAACGGUGAAACUCAAAGGAAUUGACGGGGGCCCGCACAAGCGGAGGAACAUGUGGUUUAAUUCGAUGAUACGCGAGGAACCUUACCCGGGUUUGAACGCAUUCGGACCGAGGUGGAAACACCUCUUCUAGCAAUAGCCGUUUGCGAGGUGCUGCAUGGUUGUCGUCAGCUCGUGCCGUGAGGUGUCGGCUUAAGUGCCAUAACGAGCGCAACCCUUGCCACUAGUUACUAACAGGUAAAGCUGAGGACUCUGGUGGGACUGCCAGCGUAAGCUGCGAGGAAGGCGGGGAUGACGUCAAAUCAGCACGGCCCUUACAUCCGGGGCGACACACGUGUUACAAUGGCGUGGACAAAGGGAAGCCACCUGGCGACAGGGAGCGAAUCCCCAAACCACGUCUCAGUUCGGAUCGGAGUCUGCAACCCGACUCCGUGAAGCUGGAUUCGCUAGUAAUCGCGCAUCAGCCAUGGCGCGGUGAAUACGUUCCCGGGCCUUGUACACACCGCCCGUCAAGCCAUGGGAGCCGGGGGUACCUGAAGUACGUAACCGCAAGGAGCGUCCUAGGGUAAAACUGGUAAUUGG
rnacentral:rRNA from 1 species